rnacentral:rRNA from 1 species
CACGUAGGGCGCGAGCGUUGUCCGGAAUUAUUUGGGCGUAAAGAGCUCGUAGGCGGCCUGUUGCGCCCGCUGUGAAAGCCCGGGGCUUAACCCCGGGUCGGCAGUGGAUACGGGCAGGCUAGAGGUAGGUAGGGGAGAAUGGAAUUCCCGGUGUAGCGGUGAAAUGCGCAGAUAUCGGGAGGAACACCGGUGGCGAAGGCGGUUCUCUGGGCCGUUACCUGACGCUGAGGAGGCGAAAGCGUGGGGAGCGAACAGGAUAGAUAC